rnacentral:rRNA from 1 species
GCUUACACAUGCAAGUCGAGCGGAAAGGCCCUUCGGGGUACUCGAGCGGCGAACGGGUGAGUAACACGUGAGCAACCUGCCCCCGACUCUGGGAUAAGCCCGGGAAACUGGGUCUAAUACCGGAUACGACACACCACCGCAUGGUGGAGUGUGGAAAGUUUUUCGGUCGGGGAUGGGCUCGCGGCCUAUCAGCUUGUUGGUGGGGUAGUGGCCCACCAAGGCGACGACGGGUAGCCGGCCUGAGAGGGCGACCGGCCACACUGGGACUGAGACACGGCCCAGACUCCUACGGGAGGCAGCAGUGGGGAAUAUUGCACAAUGGGGGAAACCCUGAUGCAGCGACGCCGCGUGCGGGAUGACGGCCUUCGGGUUGUAAACCGCUUUCAGCAGGGACGAAAACAGACGGUACCUGCAGAAGAAGCGCCGGCUAACUACGUGCCAGCAGCCGCGGUAAUACGUAGGGCGCAAGCGUUGUCCGGAAUUAUUGGGCGUAAAGAGCUCGUAGGCGGUCUGUCGCGUCGGAUGUGAAAGCUCGAGGCUUAACCUCGGGUCUGCAUCCGAUACGGGCAGACUAGAGGCAGGUAGGGGAGAACGGAAUUCCCGGUGUAGCGGUGAAAUGCGCAGAUAUCGGGAGGAACACCGGUGGCGAAGGCGGUUCUCUGGGCCUGUACUGACGCUGAGGAGCGAAAGCGUGGGGAGCGAACAGGAUUAGAUACCCUGGUAGUCCACGCCGUAAACGUUGGGCGCUAGGUGUGGGGACCUUCCACGGUUUCCGCGCCGCAGCU